ACGGCCGCGUAGCAACGGACGCGGGAAGGGCCGCGGCCGGGCCAAAACCCACCAAUGGGAGCGGGAGGCGCGGGUGAGCUCGGCUCGGCUCGGCUCGGCUCGGCUCGGCUCGGCUCGGCCCGGCCCGGCUCGGCCCGGCCCGGCUCGGAGCAGGGGGCACUGGAACGUGUUCAGGUGGAAUCUCUGUCUCCAGACACAGAGACUUCUUGACCUCCCUGGGCAGCCUGUUCCAGUGCACUGGCACCUUCAACAUAAAGUUCUUCCUCGUGUUGAGGCCACUCCCAAAAUUUGCCCUAAACCAGGACAGCCACCUUGUUCUUGCCUUCAAAGUAGGAGAAUAAAGGAGGGAGAACAGCACUCACAGCAGCUUAGUCUGGAUUCAUGAGAGUUUUUUUCUUGGUCAACUAAUAAUCAUCCCCAAAG